rnacentral:ncRNA from 1 species
CACAGGUUUGGUCCCAGCCUUUUUAUUAAUUUUCAAUAGGAUUACACAUGCAAGUAUCCGCCCCCCAGUGAAAAUGCCCUUCAAGUUAUAACAGUACCUGAAGGAGCUGGCAUCAAGCACGCCAAUAAGCGCAGCUAAAGACGCCUUGCAGAGCCACGCCCCCACGGGAAACAGCAGUGAUAAAAAUUAGGCUAUAAACGAAAGUUCGACCUAGCCAUAUUGCAUUGGGUUGGUAAAUCUCGUGCCAGCCACCGCGGUCAUACGAUUAACCCUAGCUAAUAAAAAACCGGCGUAAAGCGUGCUAAGAUAAAUCCAAUCCAAAUAAAGUUAAGCCCUGACCAGGCCGUAAAAAGCCAUGGUUACCGUAAAAAUAAACUACGAAAGUAACUUUAAUUCACAUCGACACACGAUAGCUAAGACCCAAACUGGGAUUAGAUACCCCACUAUGCUUAGCCCUAAACUUAAAUAAUUCCCCAGACAAAAUUAUUCGCCAGAGAACUACUGGCAACAGCCUAAAACUCAAAGGACUUGGCGGUGCUUUACAUCCCCCUAGAGGAGCCUGUUCUGUAAUCGAUAAACCCCGAUAAACCCUACCAAUUCUCGCUAAUACAGCCUAUAUACCGCCAUCUCCAGCAAACCCUAAAAAGGAAGCACAGUAAGCAAGACUAUGAAAACAUAAAUACGUUAGGUCAAGGUGUAGCCCAUGGAUUGGGAAGAAAUGGGCUACAUUUUCUAAAAUAGAACACGAACGAACGCCCUAAUGAAAACGAGGGCCAAAGGAGGAUUUAGCAGUAAGCUGAGAAUAGAGAGCUCAACUGAACCCGGCCCUAAAGCACGCACACACCGCCCGUCACCCUCUUCAAAUCCCCAAGAACACCUAAACAUAUUAGACAAACACCAAGGCAUGAGAAGAGACAAGUCGUAACAAGGUAAGCAUACUGGAAAGUGUGCUUGGAUCAUC